rnacentral:rRNA from 1 species
UCCUACGGGAGGCAGCAGUGGGGAAUAUUGGGCAAUGGAGGGAACUCUGACCCAGCGACGCCGCGUGCGGGAUGAAGGCCUUCGGGUUGUAAACCGCUUUCAGCAAGGAAGAAGCGAAAGUGACGGUACUUGCAGAAGAAGCACCGGCUAACUAUGUGCCAGCAGCCGCGGUAAUACAUAGGGUGCAAGCGUUGUCCGGAAUUAUUGGGCGUAAAGAGCUCGUAGGUGGUUCGUCACGUCGGAUGUGAAAAUCUGGGGCUUAACCCCAGACCUGCAUUCGAUACGGGCGAGCUAGAGUGUGGUAGGGGAGACUGGAAUCCCUGGUGUAGCGGUGGAAUGCUCAGAUAUCAGGAGGAACACCAAUGGCGAAGGCAGGUCUCUGGGCCAUUACUGACACUGAGGAGCGAAAGCGUGGGGAGCGAACAGGAUUAGAUACCCUGGUAGUCCACGCCAUAAACGGUGGGCACUAGUUGUGGGAACCUUCCACGGUUUCUGCGACGCAGCUAACGCAUUAAGUGCCCCGCCUGGGGAGUACGAUCGCAAGAUUAAAACUCAAAGGAAUUGACGGGG